CCCCCGUCACCUGCCCGCGCAGGCGCACCUGGCGAGGCGGGCCGGAUCCAGGAGAGAGCAGACGCAGCCUCGGUGCAUGUUUUUAUCAGCGGCGUUGAGGGACAACUGAUGCGCCUGCUGGAUGAGCAUCUCCAAUGCAGCUAUGGAUGAAGACCAAAGCUGAGAGCUACUUGGAUUGGAUGGCACUUAUAUUUAUUGAAUGAUUAAGUAGAUCAAUAAAUGCAACCCACUUUUAACAGAUUCAUUAUGACCUCAUGCCAGCCAAUCAAUAUAUCUUUGGAAAUGAAAUAACACUUCAUUAAUAUAGACAGGACUCAACACAAAGUCGAGGUUCUACAGAACAGCUGAAAACAUUGGAGGAGCCUUUGAAGUUGAAGCAAAGACAGGAGCAAGAGUGCUACUUACAAAGGAACCUUCAUCCAUGGCUUGCUUGGUGUUACAUAUGAACCAAGACUGCUACAAUUUCUGGAUUUCUUCUCCAUUGCCAGGAUCUAUUCCCAGCUUCAGGUUCUACUUAAGAAAGCAAAUUGGAAGUUGUCAUGUUUGGCUAGCACCACUGAGGUACAGAUGAAGCUCCUGGAUUGGAUGGAAACAGUAUUCCAGGAAGAUGGAUUUGGAUCUGAUCAGCUGGUUUGCAACCAAGGUGCUCAUGUACUAUCAGCAUUUGAGAAGUGAUUCAGAAACAUAUUUAAACAUACAGACUUUGGAUCAAGGUCUUGAACUCCGGACAGGAAAAGAAGUGGAAAAGAAAGGAAGGAAGCAACCAUGUUGACAGGAGCAUCUCCAGAAGCUACGAGCGUCUUUCCAGAGAUCACAAAAAUGGUCAACAGUAGUGCUUGGGGAAGUGUUUGUGCCUGAUCAGGAUGACUGGGACAAUAAAACAUUUGCCUUGGAAGGAAAAAUGUACAAAUAAGGGCUAUAUUGGCGUCAACUGGAGUAAUGGAUAAUAUUUAUGUGUCUGUAAUUGUUUUUUUUUCUUUACCUUUUCUUGUUUGUGUUAUAUGUACAAAGAUGGAAUUGUGGUUGGGGUUUGGAGAUGGCUAUUUCUUUUUUAAACUUGUAUUUUGCAUUUAUUUCAUGCUGUAGGCUUAACAAUCGGUUGUAUUUCACAGUAGUAGCCAUUUUUUGCCACUGUGUUUAAAUUUCAAUUUCCUCCCUUUCAAAGACGCGAGACAGGAGUGAUGUAGCAAAAUAGGUAUACAGAGCGUUCUCAUUUGGCACAACUGUUAUAGAACCUCCUGUGAGUCCUCCAUGAGGCAGGGAUGUUGAAUUCACAUCCUUAAAUUCCUCUGCAUUGUCAGUUAAGACAAAGUAUAUGCUCAAGUAUUUAAGGGGGUGUUUUCUGACAAGCAUUUUGCUCAAGAAUCUAUGCUGUCUGUCAACUGGGGAGAUGUUUUUCUGUGGAAAUUCCUUGAUUUACUGUCUGCUUUUAAUCAAGCAAUAUUCCAGACCAGUUUUUUUUUUAAAUUUUACCCCAUCCAUACACAUACCAACUGCCCCCCCCAAAACACCACUUUUGAAUCAGUUUAGGACAGAGGUGCACAAGUUAAACCUCUAGCCACCAUUUGCCACCCAAAAAGCUUUGCUGAGAUCCAGCGACUUCCAAAUAUUUUUUAAUAGUUAUCAUCUUUAGUUGUACACUGGGGGGAAAACUAUUAGAUACAUGACUGGAGAAUCAUCAAAUUAACUCUACAUUUUAAUGAAAUGUAGUUGAGCUGAAAUUAAAUUCAGUUUUUGUGCAGGCCUUGCUCACUACAUUUUGAGGUCAUGCUAUUUAAAAGUUGAAAUGUGGACCUCGGCUUAAUAAAAAUUAGGUAUCCUGAUUUUAGGGAGUUGCACUUCUUUCCUGAUGUUUACAAGGUGGUCUUCAGCCUUUUUCCCCAGUGUGAAAGUCUGUUUUUUCAGAAAAGGACCCCAACUGUUUACAUUAAAAGUAGGAGAGGUCAUUGCAACUCAUUGUCCCUAGUAGAGAUUUUAUUGAGAUACGCUGAACAUCAGCCGGGUAUCCGGAUGGUGCACGCAAUAACACUUAACACCAUAAAAUGUACAAAUGUAAUAAGCUCUCAAACAUCAUGGUAUAGUUGAUAUGUAUAAGAAGCAAAGACUGUUUUUAUUUUCAGAUGCAAUUUCCUCUCUUUUAUCUUUGAUGGCUCAUUUUGGAUGCCUGUGUUAUGCUUCAUGUUAUGGACCAGAUUGCUGGCAGGCAAAGCAGAUUCCCGAGAAGUAGCUAUGCAUGACUUCUGCUUGUCACACCUGGAACUGAGAAUAUGUUCUCCCUCAGGUGCAUUACCACAUUUUCAAAUGUGGUCCAAAGCACUGCACAUCUGAAGUUUACCCACUGAUGGCAUUCAUCACCCUCUUUGGAACACUGGAUCUGCCCCCUGCAAAAUUUCUUCCCUUGCUAUAGAACAGAGUUUCUUAAACUUUUUUUUCCCUCAGGACCCCUUCCCACUUUUAAAAAUUAUGGAGGCCCCAAAGAGCUUUUCUUGGUAUGGGUUCUAUUUAUCUA